rnacentral:rRNA from 1 species
GAGCCUACGGGACGCAGCAGUGGGGAAUAUUGGGCAAUGGGCGCAAGCCUGACCCAGCAACGCCGCGUGAAGGAAGAAGGCUUUCGGGUUGUAAACUUCUUUUGUCAGGGACGAAGCAAGUGACGGUACCUGACGAAUAAGCCACGGCUAACUACGUGCCAGCAGCCGCGGUAAUACGUAGGUGGCAAGCGUUAUCCGGAUUUACUGGGCGUAAAGGGCGUGUAGGCGGGGAGGCAAGUCAGAUGUGAAAACCACGGGCUCAACCUGGGGCCUGCCUUUGAAACUGUUUUU